rnacentral:rRNA from 1 species
GGGAAUGACCGACUCCGGGGAAGGGAACCCUUCGGGGUGAACGAACUGGAAUUGAGGGAGGCCGAGAAAAGCCCCACAGCGUUAAUCAUAGAUUCGACCGUACUGUAAACCGACACAGGUGGGUGAGUCGAGGAGACUCAGGCGUUCGAGAGAACUCUCGUUAAGGAACUAGGCAAACGAGCCCCGUAACUUCGGGAUAAGGGGCGCCAGCGCAAGCUGGCCGCAGCGAAGCAGCCCAGGCGACUGUUUACCAAAAACACAGGUCUCUGCUAACACGAAAGUGGAUGUAUAGGGGCUGACGCCUGCCCAAUGCCAGUAGGUUAACAGGAGAUGUCAGGAGCAAUCCGAAGCAUUGAAUCGAAGCCCUGGUGAAUGGCGGCCGUAACUCUAACGGUCCUAAGGUAGCGAAAUUCCUUGUCGGCUAAAUACCGACCCGCAUGAAAGGCGUAACGACUUGGGCACUGUCUCAACGAGAAGCUCGGUGAAAUUGUAGCACCCGUGAAGAUGCGGGUUACGCGCAGUAGGACGGAAAGACCCCGUGGAGCUUUACUACACCCUGUCACUGCGAAUUGGGUGUAGAUGUAGAGAGUAGGUGGGAGCUUCGGCACCAAUGGAACACCACCCUUCUACAUCUGGUUCGCUAACCGUUGCCCUGAUCGGGUAACGAGACAAUGACAGGCGGGUAGUUUGACUGGGGCGGUCGCCUCCCAAAAGGUAACGGAGGCGCCUAAAGUUGCACUCAGGCUGGUUGGAAAUCAGCCGUUGAGCGUAUAGGUAUAGAGUGCGAUUGACUGUGAGACAAACAGGUCGAGCAGGGACGAAAGUCGAGCUAAGUGACCCUCUGGUGGUGCGUGGGCACGCCAGGGUUCAUCGGAUAUAAGCUACCCCGGGGAUAACAGGCUGAUCUUGCCCGAGCGCUCACAGCGACGGCAUGGUUUGGCACCUCGAUGUCGGCUCGUCUCAUCCUGGGGCUGUACACGGUCCCAAGGGUUCCGGAGUUCACGGAUUAAAGAGGCACGCGAGCUGGGUUCAGAACGGCGUGAGCCAGUUCGGUCCCUAUCCACUGUGCGCGUAGGAAAUUUGAGAGGACUCGCUCCUAGUACGAGAGGACCGGAGUGAACCGACCUCUGGUGUACCUGUUGUGCCGCCAGGCGCAGACGCAGGGUAGCCACGUCGGGUCGUGAUAAGCGCUGAAAGCAUCUAAGCGCCAAGCACACCUCAAGAUGAGAUUUCCCUUCGAAAGAGUAAGGCCCCCGGAAGACUACCGGGUUGAUAGGUCGCAGGUGUGAGCGUAGCAAUGCGUUAAGCUGAGCGAUACUAAUUGGCCGAGGGCUUACAAC